AGGACUAACGCUGGCGGCGUGCCUAACACAUGCAAGUCGAACGAGGGGUAGCAAUACCCCUAGUGGCAGACGGGUGAGUAACACGUAGUCAACCUACCUCUUAAUGGGGGAUAACUAGCCGAAAGGUUAGCUAAUACCGCAUACGAUCGUCGAGUGGCAUCACACGACGAUGAAAGGAGCAAUCCGUUGAGAGAGGGGACUGCGUCCCAUUAGUUAGUUGGUGGGGUAAUGGCCUACCAAGACUCCGAUGGGUAGCUGGCUUGAGAGAGCGACCAGCCACACUGGAACUGAGACACGGUCCAGACUCCUACGGGAGGCAGCAGUGAGGAAUUUUCCGCAAUGGGGGAAACCCUGACGGAGCGACGCCGCGUGUGGGAAGAAGGCCUUCGGGUCGUAACCACUGUCGAGGGGACGAUAUUGACGGUACCCCUGGAGGAAGCCCGGCUACUACGCGCCAGCAGCCGC
rnacentral:rRNA from 1 species